rnacentral:lncRNA from 1 species
AAGAAAGAGAAGAAGAAGGAGGUCUUCCUCAUCUUCCUUAUCUUCUCCUUGGUUGGAGCUUCUUGGAGAGGUAAGCUUCUAAGCUCUCUCAUGGUGGAUUUCUAGAGAUAGGUUUGAUUGCUCUAGAAAUAAAGUUUUGUAUUAUCUGAGGGCGUAGUACCUGCCAGUAUAGGUAUAGAGCCAUAUGGCACUAGCGAAGUGCUAGAAGUAAUCUAUGGCGAGAAGUGAGACUCGCAGUAGAGAUAGAAGUGGCGAAACGACUCUCAGAGCAAUAUGAAUAGUAAAUUGCGAGAGUUGAGCCAUGAUGCUUAUGAGAACACCCGAGAGGUUCGAAAAUUUUGGAUGUCAUUCCAGUAGAUCGAACAGUGAAAGUAGCAUCACCGUUGAGAGAACGGUCGAUUAGUGACCAAGUUUGAGCACGUGGGCCUAGUAGUACCUCAAGGUGAGGUAGGCGGUUGUGCUCGUGCGGCCGGUGUGCAUAGGCAAGAUUGCCUAACGCUGGACUUCGUGUGGAACGCUGUAGAGGCGUAGAGCGCUCGAGUGUAGAUACCCGUAGAGUACGGAUGUGGAUUCAGCCAAAAGAGUGUAUUGGCAGUAGCACUUGAGUAUUGCUAGGUGUGAAGCGUGCCAUGGAUCACUCGUGGGACUGGUGACUCGCACUAGGUGCAUAGGGGUCGAUAUUGGUACAUGUGACUUGGUAGAGUAUGUCGUGUAGGACGACGACGGUGGGUAGUGCUUGGGGACGACCCGUGCCUGGACCAUUUGUGGACUGUGGAGCCUGGGCCCUUUGGGCAGGCGCAGUCAGCUGUGAGUGACAGCGGCCCGGUACCUACGGGUAGGGCAGAGUUCUGGUCAGGACGGUAGUCCGAGCUUAGACCCGGGAGCGUGGAAUGCCACGUGAUAGAUUGUGUGACCGAUGGUACACCGAGUAUGGUUGUGACCCAACCCGAGGACUUGACGUGGUUUGGGGUCUUAGUUGCUCCUGGUUGGAGUGUGUGCGAAUUCCCAAGUGAGAAUUUCGCCCGAUGAUGAUUGGGUCUGCAUUUGCGAGCGAGAGACGCUGCGUGUUGAGACAAGUUUAGACGGUAGGCCUACGUAGGAUUGGUGGCCUUUGGUCCACCUGUGGAGACCGACGAGAGCGAUUUGGCAGAUAGCCUUAUCGAGGAGUUUGACUUGAAUUCACGAACGAAGUGCUCGCGUGUGCUCGUUGCGAGAAUAGUUUGAUGUUGAUCGUGGCAUGUGGUAUCAGAUGAUGAAGUACUCCUUGUGAGACAUCAAUCUAGUGGAAAGCCACGUGAUGUUGGAGACUAUGCUCGUAAGCGAACUGAGACUUGAGAUGUGCCGAAGUGGGCCAUCUCGCGUUAGAGCUGAAGGUCAGUGCGAAAUUAGAGCACUCACGACGGAGCGAUGCAUCGGUGAUAUUGCUUCUAAGCAAUGUCGGUGAUCGAAUCAGAAUGUAUUCCCUGAAGGGAAGGUAAGUGUAAAGAAGAGUUCUUUAUGUAUCGAGAGGCGAGUAAUGUUGGAGCGCGUAGAGUCGUCGAGAAUCGACUUGUGCUGCCUCUAUGACUUGCAAGACCCGUGAUGCACUUUUGUAUCACAUUUUGCAAAUGUGUUUAGGAUUAAACCCACGUCCUUCAGUAAGAGCCGCUUCUGGAAUCACGAUUGUGUGAAGCCGCUUUGGAGUGGGAGAAAGAGUUGGUACCCUCAAUUGCUCACGGAGCUGGAUUGAGGCGUGGUUUGAAUUUCGCGAACGAAAUUCUUUUUAAGGGGUGGAGAAUGUAACAUGCUAGAUUUUGAUAAAAAAAUAAAAGUAUAUAAAAAUAGUGUGAGAAGCUAUUUUUAUUGCACUUAGAGAAGUAGUACAUAAGUCAGAAAUGACUUAUGCUGAAAUCGGAAUGAAAACAGAAGAUCUAGAAUUUUCUGUUGGAAACGGGACAGAUAAAUUAGAAGAAAAUGCACAGUCUUAGAAAAUUAUGAAAAUUGGAAGAUAAGUCAGAAAUAUUUUUAUGAGGCUAGAUUUAAAGUUUCAUAUUUUUCUGACACCCGUAAAGUGAGGAAUAAAAUUCAAUAGCUAUUUGAUAAAGAUUACAGUUCGGUACAGUUUUCGGUGACCAAACGGAGUCGAAACUGAAAACUUAAAAUGUAUUCUUGUUCAGUACGUUAAACUGAGCCCGCCUGUCAAAUUUGAGCGAAAACGGACAUCCGGAAGGGCUCCAACGAAAUUUAUCAGAUUUCAGGCUGCCCGUAGUGAAUAGUGGUAGUUGAGGGGCAAAAUGGUAAAAUGGGAU